rnacentral:rRNA from 1 species
CCUACGGGCGGCAGCAGUGGGGAAUAUUGGACAAUGGGGGCAACCCUGAUCCAGCCAUGCCGCGUGUGUGAAGAAGGCCCUCGGGUUGUAAAGCACUUUCAGUGAGGAAGAACGCCUGGUGGUUAAUACCCAUCAGGAAAGACAUCACUCACAGAAGAAGCACCGGCUAACUCCGUGCCAGCAGCCGCGGUAAUACGGAGGGUGCGAGCGUUAAUCGGAAUUACUGGGCGUAAAGCGCGCGUAGGUGGCUUGAUAAGCCGGUUGUGAAAGCCCCGGGCUCAACCUGGGAACGGCAUCCGGAACUGUCAAGCUAGAGUGCAGGAGAGGAAGGUAGAAUUCCCGGUGUAGCGGUGAAAUGCGUAGAGAUCGGGAGGAAUACCAGUGGCGAAGGCGGCCUUCUGGACUGACACUGACACUGAGGUGCGAAAGCGUGGGUAGCAAACAGGAUUAGAUACCCUUGUAGUC